UGUAUUUAUUAGAUAAAAAACCAAUGCCCUUCGGGGCUUUUUGGUGAUUCAUGAUAACUNUACGGAUCGCAUAGCCUUGCGCUGGCGACGGUUCAUUCAAAUUUCUGCCCUAUCAACUUUCGAUGGUAAGGUAUUGGCUUACCAUGGUUUCAACGGGUAACGGGGAAUUAGGGUUCGAUUCCGGAGAGGGAGCCUGAGAAACGGCUACCACAUCCAAGGAAGGCAGCAGGCGCGCAAAUUACCCAAUCCCGACACGGGGAGGUAGUGACAAUAAAUACUGAUACAGGGCUCUUUUGGGUCUUGUAAUUGGAAUGAGUACAAUUUAAACCUCUUAACGAGGAACAAUUGGAGGGCAAGUCUGGUGCCAGCAGCCGCGGUAAUUCCAGCUCCAAUAGCGUAUAUUAAAGUUGUUGCAGUUAAAAAGCUCGUAGUUGAAACUUGGGCCUGGCUGGCGGGUCCGCCUCACCGCGUGCACUCGUCCGGCCGGGCCUUCCUUCUGAAGAACCUCAUGCCCUUCACUGGGCGUGUUGGGGAACCAGG
rnacentral:rRNA from 1 species